CUUGGUUGAUUAUACCGGCGCACUGCAUUGUUAUCGGUAAAGCUGCCACCUAGGCUACGUCACUCGCCUGUCAAACUGAAGAUUUCCUUUCCACUUUUACCUCAGGGACACCACAGGAGACCAGACGGCUCAUUAAUUUCAGGGCAACCAGGGACAAUGAGUAAAAUCGAAAAUGAUCGCCAGAAAACAGUGGGAGCUUUUUCUGGAAGAAAUGGGGGUGGAGGGGAAAGUGACCAGGCAACAGGCUUCUAAGAAGUGGGAGAACCUUAAAAAGAAGUACAAGGCCCGCUCUAUCACAGAACGCACCUUGGAUUGGCGGUAAUUAAAGCGUUGCUGCACCCGCCCAAUCACCGGCUCUUUAUAGGGAGUCAACAGACAUACGGGCGUCUGGAGGCAGGGGUACCCACCAUCACCUAAAAGCAUGUAACCCGGCGGUGGAUACCUGGCAGUCAAAUAAAAAUAACUGUUUUUCAUUACCCUUGUCCUUUAUG
rnacentral:lncRNA from 1 species